ACGAAACCCGAAGGCGAAAAGAAAUUGAAAACGAGUCCAGCACUCGUCGAGGGAAGAUGGCGACGGAUCCGGCCCGCGUAAGCGGGUUCGCAGAUCGGCCCGCACUCCCGGGGUGCCUCAUCCGCCGGCCGGCAACGGUCGACGAGAGGUGCGCCCAGAGCAUACACGCUGGGACCCGAAAGAUGGUGAACUAUGCCUGGCCAGGACGAAGUCAGGGGAAACCCUGAUGGAGGUCCGAAACGAUUCUGACGUGCAAAUCGAUCGUCUGAGCUGGGUAUAGGGGCGAAAGACUAAUCGAACUAUCUAGUAGCUGGUUCCCUCCGAAGUUUCCCUCAGGAUAGCUGGCGCUCGGAGGUGAGCGAACGAACUCGCUGAGUCUCUUCCGGUAAAGCGAAUGAUUAGAGGCCUUGGGGCCGAAACGACCUCAACCUAUUCUCAAACUUUAAAUGGGUGAGAACCCCGGCUUGCUCGAGAUGUU
rnacentral:rRNA from 1 species